rnacentral:rRNA from 1 species
AUUGAACGCUGGCGGCAGGCCUAACACAUGCAAGUCGAACGAGUGGCGGACGGGUGAGUAAUGUCUGGGAAACUGCCUGAUGGAGGGGGAUAACUACUGGAAACGGUAGCUAAUACCGCAUACCAUCAGAUGUGCCCAGAUGGGAUUAGCUAGGUGGUGGGGUAACGGCUCACCAAGGCGACGAUCCCUAGCUGGUCUGGGAGGAUGACCGCGCAACCUGGAACUGAGGCACGGUCCAGACUCCUACGGGGUGCAGCAGUGGGGAAUAUUGCACAAUGGGCGCAAGCCUGAUGCAGCCCUGCCGCGGGUAUGGAGAAGGCCUUCGGGUUGUAAAGUACUUUCAGCGGGGAGGCGUUACCCGCAGAAGAAGCACCGGCUAACUCCGUGCCAGCAGCCGCGGUAAUUC